rnacentral:rRNA from 11 species
CGAGUAGCACGGGGCUCGUGGAAUCUCGUGUGAAUCUGCCAGGACCACCUGGUAAGGCUAAAUACUUCCUGGUAACCGAUAGUGGAUAGUACCGUGAGGGAAUGGUGAAAAGUACCCCGGGAGGGGAGUGAAAGAGUUCCUGAAACCGGUCGCAUGCAAGCCGUCAGAGCCUGUGUGGUGAUGGCGUGCCUUUUGAAGAAUGAGCCUGCGAGUUAGU